CCUACGGGCGGCAGCAGUGGGGAAUAUUGCACAAUGGGGGAAACCCUGAUGCAGCGACGCCGCGUGAGUGAAGAAGUAUUUCGGUACGUAAAGCUCUAUCAGCAGGGAAGAAAAUGACGGUACCUGACUAAGAAGCCCCGGCUAACUACGUGCCAGCAGCCGCGGUAAUACGUAGGGGGCAAGCGUUAUCCGGAUUUACUGGGUGUAAAGGGAGCGUAGACGGCAGCGCAAGUCUGGAGUGAAAUCCCAUGGCUUAACCAUGGAACUGCUUUGGAAACUGUGCAGCUAGAGUGCAGGAGAGGUAAGCGGAAUGCCUAGUGUAGCGGUGAAAUGCGUAGAUAUUAGGAGGAACACCAGUGGCGAAGGCGGCUUACUGGACUGUAACUGACGUUGAGGCUCGAAAGCGUGGGGAGCAAACAGGAUUAGAUACCCCUGUAGUC
rnacentral:rRNA from 1 species